GGCUUCCUUCUGACCGUGACCGUGUGCUUCCACGUCCGACGGGCUCCGAGGUAGUUGAGAGCCGGUUUGCUCCCUUCCCCCGUCCUCUGUCACCUUUAAUGUUUAGUUCCUUCGUUUGCAAAGUCCUGACACCGUGGGCGUCACGGAGGCGAAAGUAAAAAGCCGCCUUUGCGACUCCCCAGAUCCUCUGGAGGCUGGGGACACCGGCCAGACGGUCAGACCCACAAGCCUUCUGCAGGGGGCGAGGGCCCUGGACCUGCUUUGACUUGGCCUUCCUCGACCCGUGCUGACGUCACGGCCCCAGAACCCGUUGGGUCUGCGGAGGAGGUAACAAGUUCGAAUUUUGUAUCUCUUCGUAGUUAUUCCCAUCUGUUACUGAUGUUUAAGUCCUUGGACUGCGUCGCCCUCGAAUUCUCCAGCUCAGGAUUUUUCCUUUGCUUUUGAGGCUAACAUUCUGUUACUCUCAUUUUUGUUUUCUACUUUUCUCCUUCAGAGUAAAGAAAAUUCGUUUAAAUG
rnacentral:lncRNA from 1 species